rnacentral:rRNA from 1 species
AUUGAACGCUGGCGGCAUGCCUUACACAUGCAAGUCGAACGGUAACAGGUCUUCGGAUGCUGACGAGUGGCGAACGGGUGAGUAAUACAUCGGAACGUGCCUAGUAGUGGGGGAUAACUACUCGAAAGAGUGGCUAAUACCGCAUGAGAUCUACGGAUGAAAGCAGGGGAUCGCAAGAACUUGUGCUACUAGAGCGGCCGAUGGCAGAUUAGGUAGUUGGUGGGAUAAAAGCUUACCAAGCCGACGAUCUGUAGCUGGUCUGAGAGGACGAUCAGCCACACUGGGACUGAGACACGGCCCAGACUCCUACGGGAGGCAGCAGUGGGGAAUUUUGGACUAUGGGCGAAAGCCUGAUCCAGCAAUGCCGCGUGCAGGAUGAAGGCCUUCGGGUUGUAAACUGCUUUUGUACGGAACGAAAAGCCCCGGGUUAAUACCCUGGGGUCAUGACGGUACCGUAAGAAUAAGCACCGGCUAACUACGUGCCAGCCGCCGCGGUAA